UACGGAGGGUGCGAGCGUUGUCCGGAAUCACUGGGCGUAAAGGGCGCGUAGGCGGCCAGCACAAGUCGGUUGUGAAAUCUCCGGGCUUAACUCGGAAAGGUCAACCGAUACUGUGCGGCUAGAGUGCGGAAGGGGCAACUGGAAUUCUCGGUGUAGCGGUGAAAUGCGUAGAGAUGUGGAGGAACACCGAUGGCGAAGGCAGCCUCCUGGGCUAGUACUGACGCUCAUGCACGAAAGCGUGGGGAGCAAACAGG
rnacentral:rRNA from 1 species